rnacentral:tRNA from 1 species
GCGGUCGUGGCCGAGUGGUUAAGGCAAUGGGCUUGAUAUCCAUUGGGGUUCCCCGCGUAGGUUCGAAUCCUACCGGCUGCG